GCGGUACACAAAAAAUGGCUCGCGUUCUGUGGCCGUAAGUAUGGAUCCGGCAUAUACGUGUGCUUCCAGCAUUUCGAAUUGACGGAGUUUGUCAAUGUUUAUAUGGAAAACGCAAGGAGGGUUCUUAUAAAAUCUGCUUUGCCAUCCAUUCGUUGCCCUCCAACUGAGUCUGCUCGAUCCAUCAGAGCUAAAGUGAGGAACCGGAAGCAGAAAAGAAAAGAACUUCUACAGAGAAAUGCAAACUUGUCCAGGGUGGGAAACAACAGUUCAAUCGAGUCUCUACAGAACAGCACUAACGUCAAGGACCAAGAGCUACCAGACCAAACUGAUGAUUUGUGAGGCGAUAAGCGAUCCGUUGAAAACCAACUCUGAUUGGCCGGAAGAAGUUAUUCGAAAUCUAAAUCCUCCGUACGAUGGAAACAGCGAGUGAACUGUAUUACGCACUGCAGCCCCGAUGAUGUUAUGACGUCAUCACUGUAAUACACACAAUGUUUACGUUUUUUCGAUCACCUAUACCACGGCAAACCGAGUUCAUCCACACCUCUACAUCUAGC